GAUCCUGGCUUAGGAUGAACGCUAGCGAUAGGCCUAACACAUGCAAGUCGAGGGGCAGCAUAGGGUAGCAAUACUUGAUGGCGACCGGCGCACGGGUGAGUAACGCGUAUGCAACCUACCUAUAACAGGGGAAUAACCCGGAGAAAUUCGGACUAAUACCGCAUAAAACAGGGGCUCCGCAUGGAGAUAUUUGUUAAAGAUUUAUCGGUUAUAGAUGGGCAUGCGUUCCAUUAGCCAGUUGGUGAGGUAACGGCUCACCAAAGCAACGAUGGAUAGGGGAACUGAGAGGUUUGUCCCCCACACUGGAACUGAGACACGGACCAGACUCCUACGGGAGGCAGCAGUGAGGAAUAUUGGUCAAUGGGCGAGAGCCUGAACCAGCCAAAUCGCGUGAAGGAAGAACUGCCUUAUGGGUUGUAAACUUCUUUUAUACAGGAAUAAAAAGAGUUACGUGUAACUUAUUGCAUGUACUGUAUGAAUAAGCAUCGGCUAACUCCGUGCCAGCAGCUGC
rnacentral:rRNA from 1 species